UACAGAGGGUGCAAGCGUUGUUCGGAAUUACUGGGCGUAAAGGGCUCGUAGGUGGCCAACUAAGUCAGACGUGAAAUCCCUCAGCUUAACUGGGGAACUGCGUCUGAUACUGGAUGGCUUGAGUUUGGGAGAGGGAUGCGGAAUUCCAGGUGUAGCGGUGAAAUGCGUAGAUAUCUGGAGGAACACCGGUGGCGAAGGCGGCAUCCUGGACCAUACUGACACUGAGGAGCGAAAGCCAGGGGAGCAAACGGG
rnacentral:rRNA from 1 species